UCCAGACUCCUACGGGAGGCAGCAGUGGGGAAUAUUGGUCAAUGGGCGGGAGCCUGAACCAGCCAAGUCGCGUGAGGGAAGACGGUCCUACGGAUUGUAAACCUCUUUUGCCGGGGAGCAACGGGGUCCUUGCGAGGGCCCGAUGAGAGUACCCGGAGAAAAAGCAUCGGCUAACUCCGUGCCAGCAGCCGCGGUAAUACGGAGGAUGCGAGCGUUAUCCGGAUUUAUUGGGUUUAAAGGGUGCGUAGGCGGAGUGUCAAGUCAGCGGUAAAAUUUCGGGGCUCAACCCCGUCGUGCCGUUGAAACUGACACCCUUGAGUGAGUGAGAAGUAAGCGGAAUGCGUGGUGUAGCGGUGAAAUGCAUAGAUAUCACGCAGAACUCCGAUUGCGAAGGCAGCAUGCCGGCUCCACACUGACGCUGAGGCACGAAAGCGUGGGUAUCGAACAGGAUUAGAUACCCGAGUAAA
rnacentral:rRNA from 1 species